AGGACGAACGCUGGCGGCGUGCUUAAUACAUGCAAGUCGAGCGAGGUUACUGUUUUGGAUCCCUUCGGGGUGAAGAAGCUUUAACCUAGCGGCGGACGGGUGAGUAACGCGUGGGUAACCUACCCCAAAGUCCGGGAUAACAGCGGGAAACCGCUGCUAAUACCGGAUGUCUUUACCUUGGGGCAUCUUGAGGUAAAGAAAGGUAACGCUUUGGGAUGGGCCCGCGUCCCAUUAGCUAGUUGGUGAGGUAACGGCUCACCAAGGCGACGAUGGGUAGCCGGCCUGAGAGGGUGGACGGCCACACUGGGACUGAGACACGGCCCAGACUCCUACGGGAGGCAGCAGUAGGGAAUAUUGCGCAAUGGACGGAAGUCUGACGCAGCGACGCCGCGUGAGCGAUGAAGGUCUUCGGAUCGUAAAGCUCUGUCCUUGGGAAGAAGGCGAAAGCUUGACGGUACCCAAGAAGAAAGCCCCGGCUAACUACGUG
rnacentral:rRNA from 1 species